UCAAUUGCAUGAACUUUCUCUUCGAAACCCGUCUCAUUGCCUGAAAGAGUGCAAACACGUCGGAGAAUUGGGAGAGACUGAGAAGCGAGAGAUCUAACCAUUUUCUAAACUCCUUUCUCGCAUUUCCAUUGCGUAUUUCAGAUUUUUCGAUUCACCUAAUGACUCCGUCAUCAGAAACGUCCAUUCGUAAAAACACGAUUCCUUCAUUUCUCUACGGUUCUUCACCUAAAACCCUAUCGAUUUUUCACCAGAUCAUUAACUCCGGCCCCGCUCCUUCUGCCGCUGCGACGUCUUCAUUGAUCAGAACAAGAUAGAUCGAUUGGGCUUUGAAGCUUCUCCUAAGGAAUCCAGUAAGAUCGAGAUGUACUUUGGAUUUGACACAACUCAUGUUGCUGCUAGAGCACGGGCUUUGAAGCUUUGAUCUUUAGAAUAUUCAUUCACUGUUUGAUGAAUUGAUUCAAAGAGCUUAUGAUUGUGUUUUGUCUCCGAGUGGGACUUCUACUGCCGCUUUAAUUCAAGGAAAGUUCCUAAUGGUUCCGAUUCGACGGUUUUGACGAACUACUCAAAGAAUUUGAGUUCUGGUUCUGGUUCUCGAGGUGGUUUUGAGAAGCCGGAUUCCUUCAAUUACUGCUUCUUCUACCUUUGUUCAUGUGGAGAGAACAGUUUAUGCAAAGGCUUCUGAGUUGUUCACAAGAGAUGAUAGUUAUGUGAGCAAGUCCAAGUCUACAUUUUAUACAACGGUCCAGUGCAGAGAAUUGAAUCCAUCAUUCAUGAGUAGAGGUUGGAAACUGCCUGGUUGCAAGUCGUAGAAAAAGGUUCCCUUUGUUCAUUGAGUCGCUUGAGACCUAAGAAGAAUCAAGUCCUGCCUCAGGAUGGUGCUUAUUGUGUAAGCUCAAUGGAGACCAUGGAUUCAUUAAGAUUUUCCUCUCAACAGGAUAGAGAAGAUGGCGCAAAUAGCGAUCUUAAAAUUUUGGGCCUUAAAAAUAGAAGGGUCCUACCGAAGGAUCAGAUUGGUAAAAGAUUUGCAGGUUAUCAAUUUGACUAUGUGUUUGAUUGGACUAUAUUGAAGUAUCAACAAGUCAGAUCCAGCUCUAGAACACGGCAGGUUCGACUAUCCUUCCAGCAAAUGCAGCAUCGAUCAGUCCAUUCGGCUUUGGCGUUCAAGUAUCUCAGUUCCAGCUAUUCAAAGCCCGAGUUCUUGGAUUUCUUGCAGGUACAUUACUUCAGUCUCAAAACCAAGUAUGUAUGUUAUCUGAUCAAUUUAUGCCUAAUGAAAAUCAUCACAAUAAUGUUUCAAGCAAGAAAUUUCAUAAAUAUGUCCCGGCC